UGGAUAUGCCACAAACCAAGUCAAUGUCUGCAAUUGCAGGUUCUUAUGGCUACAUUGCUCCAGGUAAUUAAAAUUUUACUCCAUGAAAAUGUUGCAAACAUUAAGCUUUUGUGUGCUUUUGGCUAAUGAGCCAUGAUCAUUUAAACCGCAGAAUAUGCAUACACAAUGAAAGUGACCGAAAAAUGCGACAUCUAUAGCUACGGAGUUGUCCUAUUGGAGUUACUAACAGGCAGAACACCAGUUCAACCACUAGAUCAAGGCGGUGACCUCGUAACAUGGGUGAGACAUUACAUCCGAGAUCACUCGCUAUCACCUGGAAUGCUCGAUUCUCGGUUGAAUCAACGAGAUGAGAGAACCGUCUGUCAUAUGUUAACAGUCAUGAAAAUUGCUUUAAUAUGCACAAGCAUGUCACCUUCUGAUAGACCAACCAUGCGGGAAGUCGUUCUGAUGCUUAUCGAGUCGAACCAACGCGGAAGCCGGUUCGAUAUCUCCUCGAGUCAUGACACUGACCGAAUCGAAUGAAAUCUAUAUUCUAGUAUGCAAAUAAUUUUGAUUAAACCAUGAUCAUUUUUUUUACAAAAUUUACACAGUGAAAAAAUAUAUGCUAAUUUGUCAACUUUCAUAUAAUAAUUAAUAAUAUAUGGUUGCAACAUGUUCUUGAUAAUAUUAGUUUGAUUUAAUCACAAAUUUAAUUGCUUUACAUAAUAAUUAACUCACUUGUAAAAAUAGAGAAAUCCUUGUGAUUUUAAUGGAAUAUUUUUUCGGUAAAAGUAUUAUAGAGGUCCCUAUAUUAGAAACUGGAUUGCAUUUUGCCCCACCACUCAAAUGUACAGGGAAAAACGCAUUUUUUCGGUAGAGGGACUAAUUUACAGGGACUAAUCUAAUGUAUAGAGAUUAAUUUACCCAUUUUUCGGUAGAGGGAAAAAAAGGCAAUCUCACCCUUAAAAUAAAAUAAAAGUUUGACUAUAAGUAAAAUUUUCUAUAUGGUCAGAUUAUUACUCUAUUUAUUUUAUUAAAUCUAAUCUAAUCUAAUCUAAUGUAAUCUAAUCUAAUCUUAAUCUAUUCCAUAUAUAGAAAGAGUUCCUUUUUCACUAAAACUGUUUUAUAUCACAUUUAUAAUUAAAACUCGCCGCCCAAUCUCCAUUAACACACAAAAUUAAAGCUUUCAUCUUUCUUAUUUCUUCUUCAAAGUUCAACCAUGUUUACAUUGAACCUAAACAAAAAGGUAAAUUUUAUUGUCUGACAAAUUUUUUCUCUCUUACUUCAUGCACAAGAAACCAAUAUUCUUUUGAGUUUUUUUUUUUUCAUUUUUUUAUAGGUGGAGAAGGAGAAAAAGGAAAUCGAGCACAAAAACAAAAUGCCUCAGUUAGAUUCAACCCAAAAAAUAAGGAGAAUACAAGACCCAAAUUUCGUUAAAAAAAAUUAUAUUUUACAAAUGCACAUCCAUUAUGCAGAAGAGAUUGACCCAUCGAGCGUGUACUCGGAAGUUCAUUGGAGGAAUUAUCGAGUGGUGUUUUGGGUUAACCCUUCAGAUCAGUACGAGACUGGUGCAAGUAGAGGGUAUCCGAUAUUUAUAUGGGAACAACUAUUUAAUAUCCCAUUGAUCAAUGUUGUUAUAUCGGAACAUAAGUUUUUGAGUCUGGAAGUUAUGCGGAUCGGCGGGAAUCCAGGGCCGUCAAGAGGCUACAUCGUGGUGGGGAGAGCAAAGGUAGCUUUGCCGAAAGUGCUGGGGAUUAAAGAGUGCCAACGAGUUGGAUUGGUGAGGUUUGUUGAUGGGCAAACCGUGGGUGAAGGGCAUAUAAUAAUUUCUCUGACUUUGAUACAGGUAAAUUUCCAUUGGCGUGAUAUGUUAUUUCAUUAGAGAGAAUUCAACAACUCGGGAUUAAUUACUGUUAGUGAUGAGGGAAUUAAUUAUUGUUGUUAAUGAUGAUACUUUAGUUUUGAGAAAAAGUCACCUUUUAUGUUUCUGUUUUAAAAUAUUAUAUAAAAAAAAUUAUUUAUCUACAAAUAGAUUAUUUGUAUGCUAACUCAAUGUUGGUUCAAAAUUUGCAUAAUGAUGAAUCAAGAAAAGAAAAUAUUAGCUUAUUUAGUCAAUAAGUUCUCGAUACGGUUAGCAAAGGUCAAGUUCUUGGUUUGGGGUUGAGUUCCUUUCUGAAUUAAUCCCCACUCUUGAAGUAAUUUUUAUAAAAUAAUUAUUCCACACAUGUAGGUAAUUUUAAAAUUUUCAUAAAUUUAAAUUAAAUUAAAUUAUAAAAUAUUGUAUUUUCACCUAGCCUUAAAAUUGCACCGCAAACAUUCAUCGAAUCUAACGGCAAAAUGUUGAGGGCGGUGGCGACAAUCCUAAUAUGCACUUAGAAUUAAAUGGUCACUAUCUCCAUCUUUAUUAAAAUCCACGGCCUUGCUCAUUUUCGCGAGCAAUCCUCCAAUAUUAAGUGAACUUUCUAGAAAGUAAGAUGAAGCUCGGAGAAGCAAAGCAUGAUUGACUCGGGAAGAACUAAAAACCUAGAUUGUGAGCAAUCCUCACCCCACAUACACCAGCAACCAUCAAACCACCAAUCGAAAAAAGCAAAUAAAAACAAAAAAGCCUCUAUAAUGGAUGAAGGAUGGAAAAAAAUCAAGCAAAAGACAUAGAGUUAGAUGCAAAGCAAAAAUUAGAGAAAGAACAAAAAAGGAAAAAAAGCAUAGAGAGAAAAACUUGUCUUUUAGAGCUUAUUGGUUAUUUGGGCAUCGAAGCUCCGUUCAAUAAUCUGAAUGGUGAAGGUAGAGAAGGGGUUGAAGAGAACAACAUAUCUCGAGGUCGCGAUGAUCCAUCUGUGGACGUCGGUGGAUUGAAGUUUCCAGCUUAGAACUUUGGCUUGAGGUUUUGUAGGUUUUGGUUGCUUUUUAGGAAAAUCUAAACCGAAAGAUAGAUCGAGGGUGUGAAGACUUAUCAUUGGAUAGUGAUUUUGU
rnacentral:lncRNA from 1 species